rnacentral:rRNA from 1 species
UACGUAGGGGGCAAGCGUUGUCCGGAUGUAUUGGGCGUAAAGCGCGUGUAGGUGGCCAAGUAGGUCCGCUGUGAAAACUUGAGGCUCAACCUCAAGCUGUCGGUGGAAACCCCUUGGCUAGAGUCCGGAAGAGGAGAGUGGAAUUCCUGGUGUAGCGGUGAAAUGCGCAGAUAUCAGGAAGAACACCAAUGGCGAAGGCAGCUCUCUGGGACGGUACUGACACUGAGACGCGAAAGCGUGGGGAGCGAACAGG